rnacentral:rRNA from 1 species
GAGUUUGAACCUGGCUCAGGAUGAACGCUGGCGGUGCGCCUAACACAUGCAAGUCGAACGAAGGAUUGUGAAGGAACUUUACGGAGGGAAAACACAAUGACUGAGUGGCGGACGGGUGAGUAACGCGUAGGGAACCUGGCCCUUACAGGGGGAUAACAGAUGGAAACAACUGCUAAUACCGCAUAAGCGCCCAGCCUCGCAUGAGGCAGAGUGAAAAACUAAGGUGGUAAGGGAUGGCCCUGCGUCCGAUUAGCUAGUUGGUAUGGUAACGGCAUACCAAGGCGACGAUCGGUAGCCGGCCUGAGAGGGUGGACGGCCACAUUGGGACUGAGACACGGCCCAAACUCCUACGGGAGGCAGCAGUGGGGGAUAUUGCACAAUGGGGGAAACCCUGAUGCAGCGACACCGCGUGGGUGAAGAAGCGCUUCGGCGUGUAAAGCCCUAUCAGUGGGGAAGAAAAAGGACGGUACCCAA